rnacentral:tRNA from 1 species
CAACGUGUAGCUCAACAGCAGAGCACCCGGCUUCGGUCCGGGAGGAAGCGGGGGCGGCACCCGCCACGUUGG